rnacentral:misc_RNA from 1 species
GCAAGGAUGCUCCAGACAGCCUCUGUCAGAUGAUGAAAUAAGCAGAGAAUUCACCAGAAAAGCACAUAUGUACAAACAAAUCAAAUAAACAAAAGAAAGGGCAAGGAAACAAUGAUUAGCAACAAAUAAAUCACACAUUUCAAUAAUAAAAAAGAAAAGACAAAAGCAAUAUUGUAAUAGUCCUAUGAAUUUGAAAUAGGUUUCUGUUAUUGGGUUGGAACAAACUUCACACUUUGAUUGGCCUUUUCAAUAUAUCCUCCACUCAAACUUGAUCACAUAAUAUAUAAAGAGACCCUUGGUAACUACUCUACUAAAAAAGUAAGGUACCACUAUUACAAUGAAUCCUACAGAUCAACAUAAAACAUGAGAAUAUGGAAACAAGGUCACUAACUCUACUUAGUGCCAAGACUCACUGCUCACUCAUUAACAAGACUCAACAGCUAACUCCAAUGACAAUAGGACCUAAUAAAUGGACUGCAUAUCAUCCUUUUGGUUCUAUCAUAUUGUUAAACAAUUACUAAAGAAACAUUAAACUGGAGAAUACCUCUUCCUUCAAAAGAUUA